CCUACGGGUGGCAGCAGUGAGGAAUAUUGGUCAAUGGGCGCGAGCCUGAACCAGCCAAGUCGCGUGAAGGAUGAAGGUCCUAUGGAUUGUAAACUUCUUUUAUAAGGGAAUAAAGUGUGGCACGUGUUCCAUUUUGUAUGUACUUUAUGAAUAAGGAUCGGCCAACUCCGUGCCAGCAGCCGCGGUCAUACGGAGGAUCCGAGCGUUAUCCGGAUUUAUUGGGUUUAAAGGGUGCGUAGACGGGUUUUUAAGUCAGUCGUGAAAGUGUGAGGCUCAACCAUAAAAUUGCAAUUGAUACUGGCAGGCUUGAGUAGAGGUGAGGCAGGGGGAAUUCGUGGUGUAGCGGUGAAAUGCUUAGAUAUCACGCAGAACCCCGAUUGCGAAGGCAGCUUGCCAAACUGUAACUGACACUGAUGCACGAAAGCGUGGGGAUCAAACAGGAUUAGAUACCCGUGUAGUC
rnacentral:rRNA from 1 species